AUAUUGCAAGAAGUAAUGUGCGGUAAUAUGUAUGUAUGAAAAAAUGGUAUACAUAAAAAAUUGGACUUUAUAAAAAAGUCGCACAAUGCUCUAAAGUAGUCUAACGUCAAAGGUUUAUAAAAAGUCUCAUAUUAUACGAGAGCCAAGAGCUUUUCACUUCUGCCGGCUGGCCAGUCUAGGAGGGGCUUGCACUACAACAGGAAAAUGAACACCACCUUGAAAUUUUGUCUUAACUACGCGCUCCACCGUUAUUUCACGUUUCCAAUGGAGUGCCCGUUAACAGAUAAGAAAAAACUAGAGUUUGCAGACGCCGGAUAUUACUACAAUUGCAAAAUGGGGCAAUAUCAGUGCUACUUUUGCAAACAUGCCCUUGCUGUGGUGUCCAUAAAAAAUGAUUAUAAAUAUGAAUUAUUUAUCAAACCCAAUGCCAAAUUUCUGAACCUUCCACCCACGCAUAACGCAUUGACAAUUUUUAUUGUGGUUUGGCGAUUUGGAGCACUUUAAGCUUACAUUGUAAUGCUCAUGCACUCAAUUGUUACCCUCUUUUGACAGCUCAAUUUGUUCACAAAUUUUUUAUUCCGAGUAUCAUAUGUUUUAUAAUGAACACAUUUUUUCUUAGUGUUUACUUUACUUGUAAACGCACUUUCUCCAUUACAUUCUUGUAUAUUUUCUCUAAAUUUCAUUGCUUCUCUAAAAAAACCAAAAAAACAAUUUAAUACUCCUGUGUUGCAGUUAGAUAAAAAUGCUACAAAAUUAAAAUCUUUUCGAGAGCGUUUGCUUAUUUUUUUAAAUAUUUCUGAAUAGGUGCGCAAUUUAAGAUUUUUUUCAGCAUUCUUUAAUCUGCACAAAGAUGAAUGAAACUUUGGCUGUGUGUUAUGCAUUGAUUUUACUUAAUUAUUAGGUCCAUGGUGUUAUGCCUUGUUCUUGUGAAUGAAACCCUUAGUUGAAUGGGAAUGAACCGCAGCGGCAAAAAGCGUCAUGUUGCGUCAUCUAUGGAAGUCACUCGGAUGCAGCAGCACAACCACCAAGAUCAGUGUGAGGCAAGGAGUUUGGUUCCAAACUCCUUGGUGUGAGCAGCAAAAAGACGGCCGACACAGCUAUAGCAAGCAGAACCGGCUUUUAACUGAUUUUCAUUGGAAAUUUUUGAUAAUCGGAGGUAAUUCCCAUCAUAAGAAAUGACUGAAACAAGGUAAUUUUGCGCUUAAUUAAAUUUAAUCAACAAACCGUUUGAUUGACGACAGGAAAAGUUUCUGCAGCCGCACUUGGCUCAUUUUCUCAGUUCAAUCAUGCUUCAAAACAUCAAAGCAAAUUUAUUUUGGAAAUGAUAAUUAUCUCUUAACACAAGAACUGGUUUGAAGGGUUGGACAAAGCUUGACAAGCCGAAAGCAUCAUUAAUGCGAUUGAUCAUUUAACUAGCCACGAUCAAUUAAUGGCCUAGCAUUGGAAGCAUAGGAAAUCACAAGAUGCUUUUGAUGGAGCGGGCAAUAUCCGAUUUGGCCCUGCCGAGAUGAUGAAUAAGGUAGCGCGUGAUCCUCCAGGCGCAAGGACCAUCAGUUUUUGGCAGUUUUUGUUAUGAAUGUGCCAUAAAUAUGAUCUCUCUCCAAAAAAAGCAAAAUAGUACCGCGCGAUUUAUAUUUUGUCACCGGUUAUUUUAAUUCCAUAGCAUACUAAAAUAUAAUUGUAAGUUAAAAUAGUCCCAAAUAUUUUUGUCAUUUGUAUUUUUGGUCUCUGUUCUAAAAUUGUUUCCAAUUAAUUCAAUUCAACAUAAAUAAAAAUUGACAUUUUAUUUUAACUGCAAGAAAUAUCUUUUUAUGCUCAACACACUUCUGAAAAGAACCCAUCCUCACGCCUGCUUGUUCCACCAGUUUAAGUUGAUAAAUAAAGUAGAAAUUAGUGCGAAUUUAUGAAUGGAGCCUCAAUCUGUUGCCGUGUCUUUGGAAAGAAGGGGGUACCAAGGCGAGAGGGGAAGAGCAACAGCAACCGAGGCUGGAGCUGGCCAGAGCGCGGUCAUUUCGUACUUCGCAGAGAUCAGUUUUUAGCCAAAACCUUAGAUUAUCUCACAUCUGCCCGAAGUCAAGCCACACUUUGUAAAAAUUUAGGAACAAUAAAAGUGCAAAAAAAUGGGCAGAGUAGCCAAGAAUAAACAGGGAGCUGUUCUUUGCAACAACGACCUGGAGGUGCAGACGCAGACGGUUGACCCCCCUCGCAUCACCAUCCACUUGUUCCUUCGAGUGCUCUCCUGGCCUUUCCGCAAACUUUUGGCCUUUGCAACUUUCGUUGCUGAAAAGUUCUUCCCAGGAAGGUUUCAGAACCCGACACUUCAGGUCAACUGUUAAAUUUCAUUCCUUGGGAUUAUGAAACAUCCAACUCCAUACUGUUUAUGAUGUCCUUGCAGGGACAAGCAAAAGAUGGUCGAGCCACGCGCAAGGAAAAGGACGGAAUUGAUAAGGAAGUUCUGAAGAAAACCACAUAUUAUAGAGUGCUGAAGAUAGCUUUGACCUUCCAAUCGCAGUUGCCUAAUGCGCUUUGGAAACGUUCGAUUCAGGCAAAUUAUUAAAAUAUUAUUAAGACAAAAUUAUUAUGAAAAUAUUUCCAUAUCAACAAAAUGAACAAAAUCAUUCUGGGUGCACAUGCACAUAAUAACUUUCAUUUAGGGCUAGGUGUUCAGUGUUUUUCAUCGAUUUCCUAAGUUGACGAAUAUUAUGUAUUCACUCCAAAGUUAAAUAUCAAAAUCUUAAAGUAUUUUUCCAGGAAAUAAAAUUAAUGUUUGACAAGAUAAAAUCUAAUCUGUUUGCAUAUUAAUUAAUUACAAAACUUAUGGGUACAUACCUGAACUUCAAAGGUGAAAUAUUUCUUCAUGUUCUUGAUGAUCAUGACCAGG